rnacentral:misc_RNA from 1 species
CCGGGAUUGAUUUGGUUUCAAAUCAUCUCUCUGACCCUUUUUUGUUUAUCAAAAAUGUCUUUUCUUCGGCAAGACGUCUUGAUUUCAGAUGAAUUUCGGUUCAACUGAAUGAAAAGCCAUUGACAGUUGUAACAGACUUGUGAAUGAGUUUGCUUGCCGAAGUACCUUACUCUAUAUUAUUGAAGUCUGAGUAAACAAACAAAUAAAUUA